GCCAGACUCCUACGGGAGGCAGCAGUGGGGAAUAUUGGACAAUGGGGGGAACCCUGAUCCAGCGACGCCGCGUGAGUGAAGAAGUAUUUCGGUAUGUAAAGCUCUAUCAGCAGGGAAGAAAGAAAUGACGGUACCUGACUAAGAAGCCCCGGCUAACUACGUGCCAGCAGCCGCGGUAAUACGUAGGGGGCAAGCGUUAUCCGGAUUUACUGGGUGUAAAGGGGGCGCAGACGGCAGCGCAAGCCAGGAGUGAAAGCCCGGGGCCCAACCCCGGGACUGCUCUUGGAACUGCGCGGCUGGAGUGCAGGAGGGGCAGGCGGAAUUCCUGGUGUAGCGGUGAAAUGCGUAGAUAUUAGGAGGAACACCGGUGGCGAAGGCGGCCUGCUGGACUGUGACUGACGUUGAGGCCCGAAGGCGUGGGGAGCAAACAGGAUUAGAUACCCUUGUA
rnacentral:rRNA from 1 species